rnacentral:misc_RNA from 1 species
UCCUAGCCCCGAUUGCAGCAAUUGUUUGAGCUCAUUUUAUUUGUUUCGGCUGCUGCGGCGAAGCCGCCGCAGCAGCCGAAACAAAUAAAAUAGCGAGUGCGGAAAGCGGGAAAUAGC